rnacentral:rRNA from 1 species
CCUACGGGAGGCAGCAGUGGGGACUAUUGGGCAAUGGGCGCAAGCCUGACCCAGCAACGCCGCGUGAAGGAAGAAGGCUUUCGGGUUGUAAACUUCUUUUCUGGGGGACGAACAAAUGACGGUACCCCAGGAAUCAGCCACGGCUAACUACGUGCCAGCAGCCGCGGUAAUACCUAGGUGGCAAGCGUUAUCCGGAUUUAUGGGGUGAAAAGGGCGGGUAGGCGGGAAUGAAAGUCAGAUGUGAAAACUAUGGGCUCAACCCAUAGCCUGCAUUUGAAACUGUAUUUCUUGAGUGCUGGAGAGGCAAUCGGAAUUCCGGGUGUAGCGGUGAAAUGAGUAGAUAUACGGAGGAACACCAGUGGCGAAGGCGGAUUGCUGGACAGUAACUGACGCUGAGGCGCGAAAGCGUGGGGAGCAAACAGGAUUAGAUACCCUUGUAGUC